rnacentral:rRNA from 1 species
GAGCGGCGAACGGGUGAGUAAUGCAUCGGAACGUGUCCUCUUGUGGGGGAUAACCAGUCGAAAGACUGGCUAAUACCGCAUGAGAUGCGAGAUGAAAGCAGGGGACCCGCAAGGGCCUUGCGCGAGAGGAGCGGCCGAUGCCGGAUUAGCUAGUUGGUAGGGUAAAAGCCUACCAAGGCGACGAUCCGUAGCUGGUCUGAGAGGACGACCAGCCACACUGGGACUGAGACACGGCCCAGACUCCUACGGGAGGCAGCAGUGGGGAAUUUUGGACAAUGGGGGCAACCCUGAUCCAGCCAUGCCGCGUGUGUGAAGAAGGCCUUCGGGUUGUAAAGCACUUUCGGCCGGAACGAAAUCGUCUCCGUUAAUACCGGGGAUGGAUGACGGUACCGGAAGAAGAAGCACCGGCUAACUACGUGCCAGCAGCCGCGGUAAUACGUAGGGUGCGAGCGUUAAUCGGAAUUACUGGGCGUAAAGUGUGCGCAGGUGGCCGCGCAAGUCGAGUGUGAAAUCCCCGGGCUUAACCUGGGAAUUGCGCUCGAAACUACGUGGCUAGAGUGUGGCAGAGGGAGGUGGAAUUCCACGUGUAGCGGUGAAAUGCGUAGAGAUGUGGAGGAACACCAAUGGCGAAGGCAGCCUCCUGGGCCAACAC